AAUCAUCAUUGUACUUUAUACUCAAAGAGUUGUUUAGAGCAGUGGUGUCAAAAUCAGAUGGAACCAGAUCCCUGCAGAGAAAAACUUUAACCCUACAACAGACAUCUGGCUAAGGAAAAUGCCAAUGAGGGUUAAUAGGCAAUAAGGAUAUAUUAAAUCGAAUGAUUUACUUCAAUCUGCAUUUUCUGCAGUCUUGAGGCAAUUAUCAUGUAUUCACUGUUGCCUUCAAGUCUGUUUCUACUAAGCCCAGAUCCACAAGCAUGAGAUCUCACAGUGGAUAAGACUUUUUAGUAAGAAAGGACAGGCAAUCUAAAAUCCUGGGCCAGCCAAGUUAUACUCCGUCUCCACUCUCCGAACCACAGGAUCUGAGAAGACUUGUGCAGAUCCAUAUAUUUGUCAAAGAUCAUUAUUCAUUCAAUAUGGAUAAGACUUCCAAGCCCACUGGAAAUAAAAGUCCUAAGAAGUUUUUGGGUGGAUGCUUUGUAAUGUGAAGAAGGUGGUCGUCUCACACAGAUUCAUCUAUACUUCUGAUGAUAGAUUGAUGUAGUAUUGAAUGUAAAAAUGAACUCUAUCAGUAAAUCUGACCAUUU